rnacentral:rRNA from 1 species
AUUGAACGCUGGCGGAAUGCUUUACACAUGCAAGUCGAGCGGCAGCACGGGGGCAACCCUGGUGGCGAGCGGCGAACGGGUGAGUAAUACAUCGGAACAUGCCCAGUCGUGGGGGAUAACACUUCGAAAGAAGUGCUAAUACCGCAUACGUCCUGAGGGAGAAAGCGGGGGAUCGCAAGACCUCGCGCGAUUGGAGUGGCCGAUGUCAGAUUAGCUAGUUGGUGGGGUAAAGGCCUACCAAGGCAACGAUCUGUAGCUGGUCUGAGAGGAUGAUCAGCCACACUGGGACUGAGACACGGCCCAGACUCCUACGGGAGGCAGCAGUGGGGAAUUUUGGACAAUGGGGGCAACCCUGACCCAGCCAUUCCGCGUGAGUGAAGAAGGCCUUCGGGUUGUAAAGCUCUUUCGGCAGGAACGAAACGGCGAGCUCUAACAUAGCUUGCUAAUGACGGUACCUGAAGAAGAAGCACCGGCUAACUACGUG